AAAGUUGGAUAUGGGUGCAUAAAGAUUCCCAACAGGACGAGGGAGAAGUAACCCUCAAGUGAUACAGGUAAUCAUCCAGUCGGUUCUGUAUCGCUACCGUAGUU
rnacentral:sRNA from 10 species